UAUCUCUGUAGAGUCUGCAUAUCAAUAAGCGGAGGAAAAGAAACUAACAAGGAUUCCCUUAGUAACGGCGAGUGAAGCGGGAAGAGCUCAAAUUUGAAAUCUUCAAGGUUUUACCUUGACGAAUUGUAGUUUAAAGAAGUGUUUUCUGUUGAAGUUUCGGUAAAAGUUCUUUGGAAUAGGACAUCAUAGAGGGUGAGAAUCCCGUAUUUGGUUAUUCAUUCUAGCUUUGUGAUACACUUUCAAAGAGUCGGAUUGUUUGGGAAUGCAGUCCAAAGUGGGUGGUAAAUUUCAUCUAAAGCUAAAUAUUGGCGAGAGACCGAUAGCGAACAAGUACCGUGAGGGAAAGAUGAAAAGAACUUUGAAAAGAGAGUUAAACAGUACGUGAAAUUGUCAAAAGGGAAGCGUUUGACACCAGUGUUGUUUUUCCGAAAAUCAAUUACAAAUGGCUUGAUUUUGUGUUGUAUUGACCUUAUCAAGCUUUCUUCACUUUUUUCGAGUCUUUCUUAAUGCACUUUUCGGUUAACAAGUCAACAUCAAUUUCUUUUGUUGUAAAAGAGUAUUCGGAAGGUGGCUUUCUUUUCGGAGAAAGUGUUUAUAGCCCUAUACUUCUACAAUCGGAGAGAUUGAGGUCUGCAGCGUAGAUCCUUCGGGGUUAGAUACACUUGUGCUAAGUUGUAGCUUUUCACUAGACAACUUGUUGACUAUGUUUAGUCAUGCGGCUUACUCGCUUGUGCUAUUUUACCUACGCUUAGGAUGUUGACGAGACUGUCGAUCUC
rnacentral:rRNA from 1 species